UACGGAGGGUGCGAGCGUUGUCCGGAAUCACUGGGCGUAAAGGGCGCGUAAGCGGCAUGCCAAGCGUGUGGUGAAAGCCCGGGGCUCAACCCCCGGGUCGGGCCGUGCGGACUGGCGUGCUCGAGCACUGGUAGGGGCGGGUGGAAUUCCCGGUGGUAGGCGGGUAGUCGAAAUGGCGCAGAGUAAUCGGGGAGGAACACCCAGUAGCGAAGGGCGGCAUCG
rnacentral:rRNA from 1 species